GCUGGGUACAGUGGUGCACACCUGUAAUCACAGUGGCUUGGAAGCCUGAGGCAGGAGGAUCAUGAGUUCAACGUCCACCUCGGCAAGAGCAAGGUGCUAAGCAAUUCAGUGAGAUCCUGUCUCUA
rnacentral:sRNA from 1 species